GUAAUCGCAUUGAUGAGGAUAAGUAGUUUUUUGUAAACCGCAUUCACAGAGAGCCGGGUAGCUGAGAACCGGCAGUGCCACAAAAAACGAACUCCCCUCGGAGCUUCAGCUUGAACGUCAACCAGUAAAGCUGAACGGGUGUACCAGUACCCGUUAUCAAAAACAGAAUGGCGACAGUCAUUCAAAAGUGCGCGCAGGAUCGGUCCAGCGCGAAUAAGGGUGGUACCGUGGAUAGGCCGUUAAAACCUUUUCACCCCUUAG
rnacentral:ncRNA from 1 species